rnacentral:rRNA from 1 species
AUGGAGAUGGCUCUCCGGGCGCAGAGCCCGCUCUGCUCCCGGAGCCGCCCGGUGCUCCUCGUGCGGCCUGCCAGCGCCGCCGCCGUCCCUUGCCUCGCGCAGUCUAUCGUCAAGUGCAGCAGAUUUACAAGAAGCAGGCUCGUUCGGUGCAUGGUAGCAAGCUCAGAUUAUCCCAAGAGGAAUCCGAGGAGAUCAUCAGCUCCUAAGCCCAAGGGCACUGCCUCCAGAGAAUAUGCUCCAAGACCUUCUGCCGAAUCUUGGACCUCCACGAAGAAGACUGAACAUAGCAGCGCUGAUGAAGACGGUGAUCUUGGCGCAAGCAAUGGGACGCUCAGUAGUGACACAGCAGAGCAGACAAGUACCGCAGAGGAAGAAUAUGAGGUGGAAUUCUCAGGAAAUGUUUCUAGCAGCGUGGAGCUGAAGGGUGUGAACGAGGAAGAGGUUGACCAAAAGCAGCCUCCUGCAUUGUCUUCCACAUCCAUGGAUGCUGAGUCUGUUAAUGAAGCAACAGAGCACACAAGUACCGCAGAUGAAUCAUCUGAGGUUGACUUCUCAGGAAAUGUUUCUAGCAGCGUGGUGCUGGAGGUAGUAGAUGAAUCUGAGACUGAAGAAGAGGCUGACCAGAAGCAGUCAUCAGCAUCUUCCACCUCCAUGGAUGUUGAGUCAAUUGACAGAGAACUUGAGGGGUACCGUGUCAGAAUAAGUGCACUGGUGGGUGCUAGCACCCAAGGACAGGACCAAUCAAUUAUUGGUGUUCAUGAACAAGACAAAUCGGUAAUUACUUCCGAUGAGCAAGACAUAUCAGCUGUUGAUGUUCCUGAACAAAGCCAGUCAGUUGUUGCUGUCACCAGAGAAGAUACAACAGAACAAACCACCAGCGAACAGGAUAUCACUGAAGCGGUAGUAGAGGAGAUAGCCAGCAAGAAUCUCGUGGCAAGAAAACAUUCUUCAUCAGAAGAUGGCGUUGGGGCAAGGAAACAUGCCAAUGAAGAGCCAUUGGUUGCUGGUGAUGAACUGAGGGUAACAGAGGAUGAAGAACAACAUGAACCAGAGAUGCAAGAACAGGUAAAGAUGGAUGUUGAUCCUCAAGCACUAAAGCGAAGGCUUGAAGAGCUUGCAGAUAAAAAUUAUUCGAUUGGGAAUAAGUGUUUUGUUUUUCCUGAAUUAGUGGAAGCUGAUUCAGUUAUUGAUCUUUACUUAAAUCGUAGCAUGUCGGCCUUAGCAAAUGAGCCUGAUAUCCUUAUCAAAGGGGCAUUCAAUGGUUGGAGAUGGAACCAUUUCACUGAAAAAUUGCAUAGAAGUGAAUUAACAGGGGAUUGGUGGUGUUGUAAGCUCUACCUACCCAAGCAGGCAUACAGAUUAGACUUUGUGUUCUUUAAUGGUGACACUGUCUAUGAAAACAACAGUUAUAAUGAUUUCGUCCUGCAUAUAGAAAGUGACAUUGAUGAACACUCAUUUGAGGACUUCUUGCUUGAAGAAAAGCAAAGGGAACUUGAAAGGCUUGCUGCAGAAGAAGCUGAAAGGGAAAGACAAGCCGAGGAGGAGCGCCGGAAGGAGGAAGAAAGGGCCGCAAUGGAGGCUGACAGGGCACAGGCAAAAGCUGAGGUUGAGACGACGAGGAAUAAAUUGCAGCAUGUGUUGGGUUUAGCCAGCAGAUAUGUCGAUAAUCUAUGGUAUAUACAGCCUAGCACAUACAAAGGAGGGGAUAGGGUCAGAUUGUACUAUAAUCGAAGCUCGAGACCACUAAAGCAUAAAAAUGAGAUUUGGUUGCAUGGGGGUUACAAUAACUGGACUGAUGGGCCCUCUAUUGUUGAGAGACUAGUCAAAUCUGAAGAAAAGGAUGGUGAUUGGUGGUAUGCAAAUGUUACUCUACCUGAAAGCGCAUUGGUGUUGGACUGGGUUUUUGCUGAUGGAUCACCUGGGAACGCAAGCAAGUAUGAUAACAAUGGGAAGCAAGAUUUUCAUGCUGCCGUUUCAAAGAGCAUAUCCGAUGACUUGUUUUGGGUGGAAGAAGAACGUAGGAUAUUUGAAAGGCUUCAGCGAGAAAGAAAAGAAAAGGAGGAUGCUUGUCGGAGAAAGGCUGAGAUAACUGCAAGGAUGAAAGCUGACAUGAAGGAGAAGACUAUGAGAGAGUUUCUUCUCUCACAGAAACACAUUGUGUAUACUGAGCCACUUGAAGUACGUGCAGGAACCACAGUUGAUGUUCUAUACAAUCCUUCUAACACAGUACUGAAUGGAAGUCCAGAAGUUUGGUUCAGAUGUUCCUUUAACCGUUGGACUCAUCCAAGUGGUCCUUUGCCGCCCCAAAAGAUGGUGAAUGCAGAAAAUGGUUCACACUUACAAGCUACAGUUAGGGUUCCUUUGGAUGCAUAUAUGAUGGACUUUGUUUUCUCUGAAUCGGAAGAAGGUGGGAUAUAUGACAACCGGGAUGGGAUGGACUAUCAUAUUCCUGUGUCUGAUUCCAUGGCAAAGGAACCACCUAUGCAUAUUGUGCACAUUGCAGUAGAAAUGGCUCCUAUUGCAAAGGUCGGGGGCCUCGGUGAUGUUGUUACUAGUCUUUCACGAGCUAUUCAAGAUUUAGGCCACAAGGUUGAGGUUAUUUUUCCAAAGUAUGACUGUUUAAACCUAAGCAAUGUGAAGGAUUUACAUUGCCGUCAAAGUUUUACUUGGGGUGGUACAGAGAUAAAAAUAUGGUUUGGAAAGGUUGAAGGCAUCUCUGUUUAUUUCUUGGAACCGCAGAAUGGGAUGUUUUGGGUUGGAUGUGUCUAUGGAAAGAACGAUGAAAGUAGAUUUGGCUUCUUUUGUCAUUCUGCCCUGGAGUUUCUUCUCCAGAGUGGCUCUUCUCCAGAUAUCAUACACUGUCAUGAUUGGUCAAGUGCUCCAGUUGCUUGGCUGUACAAGCAACAGUAUGUUCAUAAUGGGCUGCCAAAUGGUCGGGUUGUAUUUACCAUCCACAAUCUUGAAUUUGGGGUACAUCACAUCGGCAAAGCAAUGGCACAUUGUGAUAAGGCUACAACUGUUUCGUACACAUAUUCGAAGGAAGUGUCUGGACAUGGUUCUAUUGCUCCUCAUUAUUUCAAAUUCCAUGGCAUUCGUAAUGGAAUUGAUUCUGAUAUUUGGGAUCCCUAUAAUGACAACUUCAUCCCGGUCCAUUAUACUUCUGAGAAUGUUGUUGAGGGUAAGAGUUCUGCAAAAAGGGCAUUGCAGGAGAAGCUUGGAUUACAUCAAACUGAUUCCCCUCUAGUUGGAAUCAUCAGUCGGCUUACAGCCCAGAAGGGAAUUCACCUUAUCAAACAUGCAAUUUAUCGAACCCUUGAACGCAAUGGACAGGUGGUUUUACUAGGCUCAGCUCCAGAUCAUCGCAUACAAGGUGACUUUAGCAACUUAGCUGCUAAACUGCAUGGUGAAUUUGAUGGUCGUGUGAAGCUUUGUUUAACUUAUGACGAGCCACUAUCACAUUUAAUAUAUGCUGGCGCCGACUUCAUUCUUGUGCCUUCCAUUUUCGAACCUUGUGGUUUAACACAGCUUACUGCUAUGCGAUAUGGAUCCAUCCCAAUUGUUCGGAAAACUGGAGGCCUUUAUGAUACCGUUUUUGAUGUGGACGAUGAUAAGGAUCGGGCCCGUGAACAAGGCCUUGAGCCGAACGGAUUCAGCUUCGAAGGAGCUGACAGCAAUGGCGUAGAUUAUGCUCUCGACAGGGCGAUCACCACAUGGUACGACGCUCGCGACUGGUUUCACUCCCUCUGCAAGCGGGUCAUGGAGCAGGAUUGGUCCUGGAACCGGCCUGCUCUGGACUACAUGGAACUGUACCAUUCCGCGCGCAAGAACUGA